rnacentral:rRNA from 1 species
UACGGAGGGUGCGAGCGUUGUCCGGAAUCACUGGGCGUAAAGGGCGCGUAGGCGGGCUGCCAAGUUUGGGGUGAAAUCCUCCGGCUCAACCGGAGCAGUGCCUCGAAUACUGGCGGUCUCGAGGGAGGUAGGGGCGUGCGGAACUGUGGGUGGAGCGGUGAAAUGCGUUGAUAUCCACAGGAACUCCGGUGGCGAAGGCGGCACGCUGGACCUUUUCUGACGCUGAGGCGCGAAAGCCAGGGGAGCGAACGGG